GAUGAACGCUAGCGAUAGGCUUAACACAUGCAAGUCGAGGGGCAGCACAAGGUAGCUUGCUAUCUGGGUGGCGACCGGCGCCCGGGUGCGUAACGCGUAUGCAACUUGCCCUAUACAGGAGGAUAACCCGUCGAAAGACGGACUAAUACUGCGUAUGCUCACAACUUGGCAUCAAGUGGUGAGGAAAGAAAUUCGGUAUAGGAUAGGCAUGCGUCCCAUUAGCUUGUUGGUGAGGUAACGGCUCACCAAGGCAACGAUGGGUAGGGGAACUGAGAGGUUUAUCCCCCACACUGGUACUGAGACACGGACCAGACUCCUACGGGAGGCAGCAGUGAGGAAUAUUGGUCAAUGGGCGCGAGCCUGAACCAGCCAAGUCGCGUGAAGGAUGACUGUCUUAUGGAUUGUAAACUUCUUUUAUACGGGAAUAACAAGAGUCACGGGUGACUCCCUGCAUGUACCGUAUGAAUAAGCAUCGGCUAACUCCGUG
rnacentral:rRNA from 1 species